AUCUGGUUGAUCCUGCCAGUAGCAUAUGCUUGUCUCAAAGAUUAAGCCAUGCAAGCCUAAGUACACAUGGCCGGUACAGUGAAACUGCAACUGGCUCAUUAAAUCAGUUAUGGUUCCUUUGAUCACUCUCACAUUACUUGGAUAAAUGGCAAUUCUACAUGCCAAUGAGCACUGACCUCCAGGGAUGCGUGCAUUUAUCAGACCCAAAACCCAUGUGCGCUUUGGUGACUAGAUAAUCUCGAGCCGAUCGUUGGCCCCCAUGGCGGCAACGUUUCAUUUGAAUGUCUGCCCUAUCAACUUUUGAUGGUACUUUCUGUUCCUACCGUGGUGACCACGGGUAACGGGGAAUCACGGCUUGAUUCCGGAGAGGGAGCCUGAGAAAUGGCUACUACAUCCAAGGAAGGCAGCAGGUGCGCAAAUUACCCACUCCUGACUCGGGAAGGUAGUGACAAAAAAUCAGAUUGAUAGCUCUUUCUCGAUUCUGUGGGUGGUGGUGCAUGGCCAUUCUUAGUUGGUUGAGCAAUUUGUCUGGUUAAUUUCAAUAACGAACAAGACGCCGGCAUGCUAACUAGUUAUGCGGCCCCGUGCGGUUGGCAUCUAAUUUCUUAGAGGGACAAGUGGCGUUCAGCCACACAAGACUGAGCAAUAACAGGUCUGUGAUGCCCUUAGAUGUCCGGGGCUGCACACGCGCCACACUGAGUGGAUCAGCAUGUCUACCCUUCGCCAAAAGGCGUGGAUAACCCGCUGAACCCCACUCAUGAUAGGGAUUGGGGAUUGCAAUUAUUUCCCAUGAACGAGGAAUUCCCAGUAAGCACAGGUCAUAAGCUUGCAUUGAUUAAGUCCCUGCCCUUUGUACACACCGCCCGUCGCUACUACUGAUUGGAUGGUUUAGUGAGGUCCUCAGAUUGGCCCCGCUGGGGUCAAUGGCGGAGUGCUGAGAAGACAAACUUGACUAUCUAGAGAAAGUAAAAGUCAUAACAAAGUUUCCAUAGGUGAACCUGCAGAAG
rnacentral:rRNA from 1 species